UACAUUUCUAUCUCUACGUACAUUGUUUGACGAAAGGCAACAUCUUUCCACUCAAUAGAUUGGAUUCGUACAGCUUCGAAAGUUGACCAGGUUCGGGUGCAUCGAAGGUUAUCGACAUUAGUAGUGCCAUCGGUGAGCUGUAGAACGAAUGUGAUGCGGCAAUGAAAAAGCUAGCACUUCGUCCGCGCCCAUGUUGCUAACCCUGCAUUCAAGACCCAAGCAUAGUAGUGCAACAUCUGUAAGAGAUUGGAACGGCCGUAUGAACACCCCGGUCCAGACGAAUAGCUGGGGAGGUACUUUGUACGGCGAUGGUUCACUUGGCGAUAGACCACUUGGAGUACUACUCGUGGGGUAUGCGGAAUGUGUUUGCCUUUGGUUUUAUCCUUACCAAUGCAGAUUUCUCUAUGCAGACAGAAUGUCAACAGACAAUUCAUAUUCUGAACGUGAAGCCCAUGAAGAGCAACUGCUAGCACGUUAGGUUUUGGCUGCGCAGAUCAAGAUGCCGGAUACGUUGUGAAAAAACGUGGAUGUAUUUCAAUAUUAGAUAUACAACGAACGAUAAGAAUCAUUACUGGUGCAGUUCAAAUAAACCUCUAAAAUAAUACCACUGACAAAUAUUGAGCCUGGCUGGUUAAUUAAAUUUUUAGUAUAAUCUGCUCAA